GAGGUGGGGCCUUUGGGGGGGGCAAUUAAGUCAUAGGGGAGGAGCCCUCAUAAUGGGAUUAUGAAAAAGGCCAAAGAGGGACCUUUUGCCCCCUCUGCCAUGUGAGAACACAGCAGCAGUCAUCUAUGAACCAAGAAAUAGGCACUCACUAGUCAUUGAACCUGCCAGCAUCUUGUUCUAGGACUUCCCAGCCUCCUGAACUCGUAAAUGACAGCACUGAGGCAACCAAUGCCUUGGCAUCAAGCUCUCUUCUCCACCUGCUCUACUGGUUGUGUUUAUCAGCUACAGUGACCAGUGCUUAGAGACCAUUUCCCUCCCAAAAAAGCUACAUAUGCCACCAAGUUGUAAGAAAACCAGCAUCAAGCAUGCAAGACUGAGUUGAGUAUGAGUGAAGAACAUGAACUAUAU